GAGUAGCUGGGAUUACAGGUGUGCACCACCACGCCUGACUAAUUUUUGUAUUGUUAGUAGAGACGGGGUUUCACCAUGUUGGCCAGGUUGGUGUUGAACUCCUGACUUCAAAUGAUCCACCUGCCUUGGCCUCCCAAAGUGCUGGGAUUACAGGCCUGAGCCACUGCGCCCGGACUUUUUUUUUUUUUUGAGAUGGAGUUUCGCUCUGUCACCCAGGCUGGAGUGUGGUGGCAUGAUCUCGGCUCACUGCAACCUCCACCUCCCAGGGUCAAGUGAUUCUCCUGGGUCAGCCUCCGGAGUAGCUGGGAUUACAGAUUUCUUCCCGGUCAGCCCCAAACACUGAAUGUAAAUACGGUCCAACAUCAACCUGCAAACGAACACUGACAUGAAAGUGCAGUUGGAAAGGAUCUCGCAAAGGAACAGAAUCUGGUGAUCCUAAUCGUAAUGAACGUGAUCGCCGGGUAUUGAGAGCUUGCAGGUACCAGGGCUCCGGCACUACGUGUUUCACAGGGGCCACUCGGUAGACCUCUUGGUGACCUUGAGGUCAGGUACCACGUUCCCAUUUUACAGAGGAGGAAACUGAGAUAACCUACGACAGCGAAAAGGUAGCAGAGCUGGGACUGGUGCCCAGGCUCGCCGAGUGGAAAAGCCCUCGGCCACCGUGGAGAGCUCGCUUCCUGUGGUCUGAAGCGUCGCCCCUGCACCGGCUUCUGCUGCCAAGGAUGGCUUUUCCUCACUGGUGCCCACCUACGCUCACUUGUGUCAUGUGGUUAAGCCCUUUUGGCAACAUAAGACCUUUCCCAAGAAUGUGCCUCGGUGCAGAGGAAGACGGUGGGGGCAGGCCCCCUCCCCGGGAUGCUCCACCCUCCCUGACCUCACACGGGUGCAACCUGGGCCGUGGCCGAGACCUGCUGUGUGGCAGACAAUGGGAAGCCUGUGUGUCGUCCUGGGUGCCGGAUUUAGACAAUAUUUAGCUUUCCCUUGGUGGAAAAGCCUUUCCCCUCCUGCUUUGGGCAGGAACUGGUUCCUGUUGGGCGGGGCCUGGCUGCUGCCCCACCCCCACCCGGCCGGGCACCUUGACCGGCAGCUCUCCGGGCUGCUCCCUGCCUGUGUCCCUGAGCACUGACUCCAGAGGUUUAAUCAUUAACGGGCACGUUUGGCCUUCGGUCGUGGGCUGGAAUUUGGGACCUGUGCCCGGGAACAAUGAUCUCCGACACAUUAUUUUGUGUAAAAUCACUUUUAGCUGCCAUUAGCUAAUAAAGCUGGAAUAAAGUGAGGUCCAUUAACCAGCA
rnacentral:lncRNA from 1 species